AACGAACGCUGGCGGCAUGCCUAACACAUGCGAGUCGAACGAGACCUUCGGGUCUAGUGGCGCACGGGUGCGUAACGCGUGGGAACCUGCCCUUAGGUUCGGAAUAACUCCCCGAAAGGGGUGCUAAUACCGGAUAAUGUCUUCGGACCAAAGAUUUAUCGCCUUUGGAUGGGCCCGCGUUGGAUUAGCUAGUUGGUAGGGUAAAAGCCUACCAAGGCGACGAUCCAUAGCUGGUCUGAGAGGAUGAUCAGCCACACUGGGACUGAGACACGGCCCAGACUCCUACGGGAGGCAGCAGUGGGGAAUAUAGGACAAUGGGCGAAAGCCUGAUCCAGCAAUGCCGCGUGAGUGAUGAAGGCCUUAGGGUUGUAAAGCUCUUUUACCCGGGAUGAUAAUGACAGUACCGGGAGAAUAAGCUCCGGCUAACUCCGUG
rnacentral:rRNA from 1 species